GUUGCCCACACUGGAAUGCAAUGCUGUGAUGCAAGCUCACCGCAGUCUCGAACUCUUGGACUCAAGCCAUCAGCUCGCCUCUGCCUCUUGUGUAGCUAGGACCACAAGCAUGAAUGAGUACAACUUGCCCCUACAUUUAUUACUUGAAUGAUUUUCUCAAGCUAGCCAUGCCAACAGGCUUUGUUAGUACCAUUUUAUAGAAAAACGUGGGAUUCAGUGUUUUGCUCAGAGUAAUUGAUGAAAUUGGUGGAAAAGCUACCUGGGCUCAAUCUAGCUUAAAGUUCUAUGCCCUUUGCAUUAUGUUCCUAUUCUUUCUACAAAUAACGUUAUGAUUCUAAAAAGUUCAGGGAGAUGGGCAAAUAGGUUUGCCUUAAUCUUAAGAACCUGCUACGUGCUGGUGGUCCAUCAGUGAACAAAAUGGACAAAGGUUGUGCUCUUUUAAUCAAGUUAUAGAUGAAACAAACUUAAAAGCCAGUGCUGGAGAUAAGAGAUGAUUAAGCAAACACAAAAAUAAACAUAUCAUUAACCUUGGGUGGAUCACAAUGGAGGAAAUGACCAAUGCAAGAAUAGAAAACAACACAGGGGCCUGCUUAGACAAUGAGCAUCCUGUCAGUCAUAGUCCCUGUACAACUCUGAACAAGCAAAAUGUGAGAAUUAAACAUUGUAUCCACUUCCUGCUCUCAAGUUAGUUACAUUUUGAAAAAAUUAUCAAGAUUCUUUCAUAUUCAGUUUCUUUAUCAGAAAGAUAGAAUUCAUCUUUUGAAGAUAUUUUGAGGUUAGAUAAUUUUGGUUGUGAAAAUGCUACACACUCAGACACACAUUAGGGCUUUAUUAUAAAUGGUUAAAACACGACCUACAGAAACUAGGCAAAGUACUCAAAAUAUAAAGAUAAAUAAGUUGAAAUUCUUACUCUUGGUUAAAGGGUAAAACAUAUCCAUAAUUAGAAAAUUACAUUCUGCCAAGUAAAAUAUAGAUAAACAUAGAGGAGAAACAUCUAACACAUUAAACCUUACUGGAGGAUAUGACAUUCCUCCCUGGAGGAUAUGACAUUCCUCCAACGUGGCAAAAAGAUUCCUGGUAGAACAGCAGAGACAGAAAGAUGGAGAUGGGACACAGCAUUGGUUUCUGGAAGUUAAGUGUGGACCAGUGCUGGAAGUACUUGGAAGAAGUAAAAGGGAUGGAUAAUGGACAACUUUUCACGCUUCCCUGUUAUCUCAUUUAAUUUUCUCCACUUAUAAGAAGACCAGCUUCACAUGUUAUCAUGGCUAUUUCACAGAUUAGAAAACUUUUGAGCAACAGUAACAACAAUAAAAAAGAACACUAGAUUCUAAGAAGAUAGAUCUGAAUACUUCAGAUUAAAGAGUAAAUAACUGGAGGUGAGGUUGAGAAUGGGAAGAAAGCAGAAAUACAAAAUAAUAGAGUGAUGAUCACAUCCCAUGGAAAAGGAGAGAGACUGGGCUGAUGGCCGGAGAGGUAUAUGGUCAAGGGAGAUAUUUUGCUUUAUUUCAUUUACAUAUGUCUUUAUACUGAAGCUUAAAGCAAGGAGGAAAUAGAAGGUACUGAAGAAAAAUAAUGAUUAGGAGAAGAGACUAGAAAAUAAGAGAGGUAAGGAGCAGAGGUGAAGUUAUUACCCUUAAUGCUAAUAAGUUCGUCAGUGUGUAUUAAGUAUUUACUAUGUAUGAGAAUCUGUUGUAAGUGCAUUAACAUGUUUAUGAGGUAUAUACCAUUUUUACACAACUUUAAAAAAGAGAAAACUAAUGUACAGUAAAGGUAAAAUAAUUGUCUCAAUAUUACUGAGCUGGUUAAUGCUGUAAAUGGGACUCAAUCACACACCACUAAGCUCUAUGAAAGUAAAGGAAGAAAAAUAUUACUCAGUUUGUAAUUUGUGACAUUGCCAUGACCACACACUAUAUAUAAUAUUCGUUCAUCAAAUCUAGAUACUAUAGUGACAUAGUUUAGAUCUAAUUAACAAGAGUGUGUUGAAAGCAAAAUCUUAUUUCCUAAAGUACAAUCCCUGUUAAUUUUUGUUUUCCUAGCAGAAUGAGACAAAGGAAAAGCUAAGAUGAUUUUUUAAGCACUUCAGUUCUUUCCUCCCAAUAUAUGACUAUUUCUAUCAAAUACAAAGAUGUUACGCAAUUUGAAAAAUAUUUUUCAGUUUUGGCAUAUAUCUGCAAAAAGGAUGUUAUCUUCAAGAAUCAUACGUCUUUUGAAAAAUGUUUCCAAGUGAUUGUUCCUGAUGCUGCUCUGAUCAAAAAUCAGGUUUGGAUGAAUGAAAAGGACAUUCAUGAGAGACUCCAGAAGAACCAGGCCUUUUCAGUGAAAGUAAACAACUUACGGAAUAAAGACGAGUGUAGAUCUGCUCUGACAAUGAUUAAAGGAAAGAAGACAUAUUGAUCUACUUUUAGCUCAGAAUUCAUGCAAGAAAUAAGUUUUUGUACUAAAAUGGUUUUAAAGUGCCCCUCUCUCUGCUAGAGUGAACAGAGAAUGCUGAAAGCCACAAGAAAAGGCAUUCACCAAAGAGAACAGAGCCAGGAGAGAGCCUCUGGGAAAGAGAAGGCUUUAGAGACAUCGUUUUAACUUGGCAGUAAAGCAAACAAGCAACAUAGCCACAGGACUGUUGGAGUGCGACAAUGUUUUCUCUAGAAAUAAACACUCAAGUCU
rnacentral:lncRNA from 1 species